rnacentral:lncRNA from 1 species
GCAAAUGUUAUAUCAAUGAACCAUCAUUCAUAAAACAUGGAUACAUACCCGUCAAGGCCUCUGACAUACUGUACAUAAUAAAUUUGUGUCUACAAAGCCUCACAGAUUAUUUGACAUAAAAUGGGACAGGGUACCGGCCUACCCAUAGGUCUAUAGCAAAAAUUUUGACACGAUGACUCAUAAAACUCGGCUACACUCCGAAUGAGGGGGAGUCUUACCGAUCCUUCGAUGAACGCAGACCUCGUCUAUUGUGAGGGUUCGUCAAUCUGAUUAUCUAUACCUGUAGGCAUGAAUGCAGCAUCCCCAACAACAGGAUGUCAGUACGAAUAAUGUACUGAGUAUGUAAGGCAGAACUAAAACAUAAUAAUAAGUCAAUAUUAAUUAAGGACAAGGAAGACAAUAUAGAGUAAAUGACUCAACCUGUAAAUUUGAAUAGCUUUGUAAAUCAUGAAAUAUUUAUAGUAUCGUGCAUAUGCAUAUAAAUGCCAUGUAAUGCAUAGGUCUGUACGUACAUAACAUCAUAAAGCCUCUAAGGGCAUCACAUCAUAUCAUCUCAGCCACUGUGGGUAAAAUCAUCAUCGUAUACCAGCUGAUCAAGUGGUGGUGCGUAUAUAAUGCCAUAACCUUUUCCCAUAUCCCAAAUACAUAUAUUUAUAUACCAUCUAGUGCCAUUGUAGGCAGAAUCAUCAACAUAUAUCAGCUGAUCAGGUGGUGGUGCGUAUAUAACGCCAUAACCUUUUCCAAUAUUCCAUAUACAUAUAUGCGUAUAUAAUGCCAUCUGGUGUCACUGUGGGCAAAAUCAUCAACGUAUGUCAGUUGAUCAGGUGGUGGUAUGUAUAUAACGCCAUAACCUUUUCCCAUAUCUCAUAUACAUAUAUAUACAUAUAUACACGUAUAUAACGUCAUCUGAGUCAUGGGUAAAUGCACAUGUAAAUGAAUGCAAUGCAUGAGAAGUACGUUAAUAAAAUCUCUCGGAAUUUCAUAAGACCAUUAUGCCUUUGAUUAAUAUCAUGAAGUGAACUUUUUCAACUUACGUAUUUUUCUGAGACCUAUGAACAGAAGAUGUAAUAAUAAGACACAUGGAAAUUCAAGAACAUAGGCACUUCUAGUACUUCUAUGAAUAAAGUCAUUUAUAGAAAUUGUGCAUUUUCUCGUUUCGUUUGUAUCAUAUGGAUCAAGCCAAAAUAAAGAAGGGAUAGACUUAACAUACCUGAACUAAAACUAGAUAAACAUUAGAGAAGAUUCAAAAUCAUUGUAAUGACGGAAAUUAAGCCAAUGAUUCUAUUAAGUAUAUUUGACUUCCCAUCCAUAGAAGACAGGUGAAUCUACAAGCCAGGUCUUGUAAAAGUUUUCUGAACUAGAAGCUCAAAGAAACGCAUAUAAAAUUGUAUAUGCUGGUUGAAUACUUAAUAGCUUCAAUAUUAAGGUGUUGUGGCCAUAAAGAAGAUACUAUGCAUGGACAAUAUAAUAAAUAAUUUCCACAGUCACUGUAAUUAAUUUUUGUUAAAGAUUAUCAAUCAACACUCUUACAAAAAAAUCAUCUUAAACUACCUUUUAAGUAAUUUAUGUAUAAAUAUUAUUUUCACCGUUAGUCCAUAAAAGUUAAACUCAAAAUUAAAUCACAGUAUUAGAAUUCUAGAAGUUAGUAGGAUUUCUCAGCUACUUUUCACUAACAUCAUUUUCCUUAAUUAGUCAAUACCCCAUGCGGAGCAGUCAGUCAAAAGUAGUCAAGCACAAAAUAAUUGUUGCUCUUUAUAUUUAACCUCCUCACUUACUUUCCUUAGACUUGUGAACUUACCCCUUACACUUCUUUCUUUGCUUCUCUCCUUCUAAUAUUCUUGAUGUCCCCAAUUGAUGUAAGAUCUCCAAAACAUUGUGACGAGAAAGAGUAUAACUUCAACUUAGAAAAAGUACUCCCAAUUAAGAAGUUAUUCUUUGGCUUCUCUACCAUUUUCCUCUCUAUUCUAUCAUUUAUCUUUCUUCUGUAUCUCACUCUCCACCCAACAAGAUCCAACUUCACUCUCAAAGAAUCUAAUAUUUAUCAACUCAACCUUUCAAGUCCACGUCAACUUCUCAACACCUCCAUUCAACUCACACACUUGUAUCCAAGAAUCCAAAUAAGAAAGUUGGAAUAUUUGUAUGGAUCAUGCCAAAAGAAAGAAGAGAUAGCCUUAACAUACCUGAGUCGAUUUUCUUGACAAUCCCUCUAACACACGACAAUAGCGACAACACGUAACGGCAAGAUCGGAGUAGGGAAAAAUUCGUAUGAUAUUCUUGAGAAAGGGUGGACCGCGGUCUUUUAAAAUUACAUCCCCGACCCUUAGGCACAGUACAAAAAGCUGAGAGCCUUCAUGAAUUGUUUCUACAAUUCAACCAUGGUAUAGUACAAUUCACUCUAUAAAUGACAAUAGAUGCUUUACUUGUACUCCAACUAAUCGAUCUGCUUAAAAUCUUCUUUCCAUUAUCAGGAGUUGGUGUCUUUGGUAUUUAUUGCACCGCUUACAUAUGAGCAACCCAUAUCAAAAGCACCAGCAUAGUAGAAAAAAUAUAUGAUUAACACUUCAAGAUAUUUUCCCCACAAAUACUAAUCAGUUAAUAGAAACUGGACUAUGGUAAAUGGAGUACAAGUGAUUUGACGAGAUUUACUUGAGUAGUAAAGAUAAGAGUACAAACUUGAAAAUAUUAACUAUUAGAGUCAAAAGAAUUCAUAGUAUUGCUGUUUUUGGUGUGCAUGGAUGCCACUACCUCCUUAGCAUAAAGAUAGUUGGCACUUUGCUGCCAUUCUCUCAUAAUCCCACGUGGAUUAUUAUCCUUUUAGUAAUUAUCCAAAAUUCCACUUAAAUUAAUAAUUAACCAAUUAUCCGCAUAAUUAAGAAUUAUUUCAAAUUACUUAAUAUGAUAUUCGCUUUUAAUACACUUUAUAUAUAACCUACUAUCAUGGUCAUGUGGUACCAUAUAAAAUAAAUUCACACACUAUUAUUUUAGUAACAUAUCCAUGUAAAAAUACAUAUUUUUUUUGCAACUUAUAAUUCUCCUAAUCUCAUAUAGAGAGUACAAAUCAUAUGCUUAAUUUUUGAAAUGGUAAAAAGAUAACCCUCUUUUCAUGUGAGAAAAUAAUUUUGUCACGACCUUAAACCCGGACCCGGUCGUGAUAGCGCCUCUCGUGAAGACAAGGCCAGCCGACACUUUCCUAUUUCAGUUUUAUGCAGUUAAACAAUAAGAAUUAAGUCUAAAACAUAGUAAAUAAUCAAAGAGUAAGCAAUGAACGUUAUAGUUUGCGGAAAUAAAACCCAACACAGCCUGAUACCGGGGUGUCACUAGUCAUGAGCAUCUAUCAAUUCUAACACAAGUCUGCAAAGUCUGCGAAGCUAUUACAAAGUUACUAAUAAGGGAAAAGAAAUGAGAUAAGGGGGAGAAACACGGGACUGCAGACGCCAAGCAUCUACCUCGUGAACUCCGAAGUCUGUCGGGAGUUCUCAACUCUCGCUAGCAGGAUCAGCAAUGCCUGAAUCUGCACACGAGAUGCAGGGAGUAAAGUGAGUACUCCAACUCAGUGAGUAAUAAUCAUAAAUAAAGACUGAAAGCAAGGAAUCACGUAAGGCACAUUACAGGCUAUAAUGAAGCAGUAAAAAACCAAUAAAAUAGUGAAUUAGUAAAGAUAUGUAAAAAUCACUUCAGUUCAGUUUAAACUUCAUAAAAGGCCUUUUUAACAAUUAAGUAGGUACAUGACAGGCAAUAAGGAAGAUAAGCAUAUAAAGGUUCGCCCCUCGGGCACAAUGUCAACAAAUCCGCUCCUCGGGCAAUAUCUCAGAACAAUACCAGCCCCUUGGGCUACAUCUCACAUCAAAAUGGGUACCCGCGCUCACUGGGGGUGUGUAGACUCCUGGAGGGGCCCCUUACGGCCUAAGCGCAAUAUCAAGUCAUCUCGUGGCAUCAUCACUAGGCUCUCGGCCUCAUAUCAACAAGCCAUCUCGUAGCAUUCAAAUCUCAGGCCCUCGGCCUCAUAAUCAUAAUUAGUGUUUCCUCACAACAUAGGCCCUCGGCCUUACUCAGUCAGAAUCUCAUAGCCACUCGGGCAACAGUAAAAUAUAGUGCUAAGCCCAAAAUAUCAUUUAAGUGUUAAAGCAGAGUAAACAUGGCUGAGUCAUGAAAAAUGGUGGAAUAUAGCAUGACUAAGUUCAAGUAUAAAGUCAAAACAGUGAGGAAAUAUCAAUAAAAAUCUCCUAAGGGUUCAAAUAGUUGGAACGAAGCCCAAAUAUGGCAUUCAGCCCAAAACAUGAUGAUAGCAAGUAGUUUUCAGUCAAAUACGCGGUAAAACAAUCACUCGGGAUGGACUAAGUCACAAUUCCCAACAGUGCACGACCCCACGCUUGUCAUCUAGCGUGUGUGUCACCUCAAUAUAGCAUAAUGAUGUGCAAUCUGGGGUUUUAUACCCUCAGGACAUCAUUUACAAUCAUUACUCACCUCAAUCCGGUCCAAACUCUAUCCCGCAACACCUUUGCCCAUCAAAUCGGCCUCCACUCCCGUCGAAUCUAUCCAAAAUCAGAAUCACGACGUCAAAAUAUGCUAAGGGAACAAAGCCUAAGCGAAAAUAAUUAAUUUACAACCUAAAUCCCAAAAUUACCAAAACCUGACCCCCGGGCCCACAUCUCGGAAUUCAAUAAAAUUUACAUCAAUAGAUUCCUUAUCUCCCCACGAGUUCAUACCUAUCAAAAGUACCAAAAUUCGACCAUAAAUGGUCCCUAAAAUCCUCAAGUCUAGGUCUCCAAUAUCAAGCCCUAAUUUCCCCGAUUUUAACCCUUAAUUCCAUUAAUUACAGCUCUAAUCCGUGAAAUAAUAUCAUAGGAACGAGUUUUAGGUCCAAAAUUCUUACCCCAAUGAAGUUCCCUUGAAAUCCUUCUUCAAAAUCGUCCAAAAAGAUCCCAAGCCGACAUAGAAAUGGUGGAAUAGCUCAAAAAUCGCGAAGGAAAUAAUUUAUAUGUUCUAGCCCAGGGAUUUCGCAUCUGCAGUCUAAUUCCCGCUUCUGUAGUACCGCUUGUGCGGUCAAGACCAUUGCAUCUGCGGUCCUCACUUAAGUCCUCAUUUUCGCAUCUGCGGUCCUCACUUAAGUCCUCAUUUUCGCAUCAGCGAUUCACUAUCCGCACCUGCGCCAUCGCAGGUGCGGUUCCUCCAACCACUUCUGCAGUUUCUGCCUCUAUCACCUUGUUCCGCUUCUGCGACCUUCUCCCUCGCAUCUGUGGCAUCGCACCUGCGAUCCCCGAUCCGCAGGUGCGGAAACAACAGAAGCAGCAAAUAUGCAGCUUCACCAAAAUUCCAAACUUCUCCGUCAACCAUCCGAAAUCACCCCGAGGCCUCCGGACCUCAACUAAAAGCAUGAACAUAACCCCAAAAUCUUAUUCAAACUUAUACCAAUCUUCAAAACACCUCAAACAACAUCGAAUCAACCAAAACACAUUGGAUUCAAGCCUAAGUUUCCAAAAUCUUUUGAAUUCCGCUUUUGAUCAAAAACCCAACCAAACCACGUCCGAAUGACCUGAAAUGUUUGCACACAUAUCCCAAAUGACACAACGAAACUACUGCAACUCUCGGAAUUCCAUUCCGACCCCUAUAUCCAAAAUCUCACCUAUCAACCCGAAAAUGCCAAAAAUCUUUUUUUCACCGUUAGUCAUAAAAGUUAAACUCAAAAUUAAAUCACAGUAUUAGCAUAAAUGAAAAGAGAACAUAUUCCAGAAGUUAGUAGGAUUUCUCAGCUACUUUCCACUAAUAUCAUUUCCCUUUAUUAGUCAAUACCCCAUGCGGAGAAGACAAUCAAAAGUAGUCAAGCACAAAAUAAUUGAUGCUCUUUAUAUUUAACCUCCUCACUUCCUU